rnacentral:piRNA from 1 species
UUGUUUGACAUAAAUCUGUGGGCAUG